UACAGAGGUCUCAAGCGUUGUUCGGAAUUACUGGGCGUAAAGGGUGCGUAGGCUGCGCAGUAAGUCAGGUGUGAAAUCCGGGAGCUCAACUUCCGAAUGGCACCCGAUACUCCUGUGCUAGAGGAUUGGAGAGGAGAGUGGAAUUCUCGGUGUAGCAGUGAAAUGCGUAGAGAUCGAGAGGAACACUAGUGGCGAAGGCUGGGCUCUGGACAAUAUCUGACGCUGAGGCACGAAGGUCAGGGGAGCAAACGGG
rnacentral:rRNA from 1 species